rnacentral:rRNA from 1 species
UACGUAGGGAGCAAGCGUUGUCCGGAAUCAUUGGGCGUAAAGCGCGCGUAGGUGGCUUCGUAAGUCCGUUGUGAAAGUCGAGGGCUCAACCCUCGAAUGCCGGCCGAAACUGCCGGGCUAGAGUCCGGAAGAGGCGAGUGGAAUUCCCGGUGUAGCGGUGAAAUGCGCAGAUAUCGGGAGGAACACCAAUGGCGAAGGCAGCUCGCUGGGACGGUACUGACGCUGAGGCGCGAAAAGCGUGGGGAGCAAACAGGG